rnacentral:rRNA from 1 species
AGAAUCAACGCUGGCGGCGUGCCUAACACAUGCAAGUCGAACGAGAAAGUGGAGCAAUCCAUGAAUAAAGUGGCGACCGGGUGAGUAACACGUGACUAACCUACCUUCGAGUGGGGGAUAACCUCGGGAAACCGAGGCUAAUACCGCAUAACAUCGCAAGAUCAAAGCAGCAAUGCGCUGGAAGAGGGGGUCGCGGCUGAUUAGCUAGUUGGCGGGGUAAUGGCCCACCAAGGCGAAGAUCGGUAGCCGGCCUGAGAGGGCGCACGGCCACACUGGAACUGAAACACGGUCCAGACUCCUACGGGAGGCAGCAGUGGGGAAUUUUGCGCAAUGGGGGAAACCCUGACGCAGCAACGCCGCGUGGAGGAUGAAGCCCCUUGGGGUGUAAACUCCUUUCGACCAAGACGAUAAUGACGGUACUGGUGGAAGAAGCACCGGCUAACUCUGCGCCAGCAGCCGC